rnacentral:lncRNA from 1 species
AUGAGGAGAUAACUUCGUCGAUCGACGGCAAGUAUGUUUUGAAGAUAAUUAUUUUUUUAUUUUUUUAUUUUUUAUUUUUUUGGCUUAUAUUUUAAACUAAAUCCUGAAUAUUCUAAAAAUAGAAAUGAGCUGCCUCCCAUUCAGCGCUUAUUUUAAGUCUUUAAUUUGACUCGAUGUUCGAUAUGUCUAAUUAUCGGGAGGGGGGCCUAAGCUUAUAGGCCUGAUAAUUAGUGGUUUAGCCAAAAAGUGUUUCAUUCAUUAGCCAUUCACUGUGAAUUCAUCUCCUUUAUCAUUUAUAAGUGUAAUGGCUCCAUAAGGAUAGAAGUUCACAACAGUGAA